GAGAGACAUCAGAGUAUAUUUGUAUGCUGAUGCAUGUACUUGCAUAGCGUGAGAGAUAGUGAGAGUGACAACUGAGGGAGUAAAGGGAAAACAUCUGUUUGUUUGAGAAAGCCUGAGGGACACAAGAUGGAGAACAUCUGAGCAGGGGGACUGGCCUUUGAGGAGGAAGACCGCUGUACUGCAGGAGGAAAGGAAGAGAUGAGUAUGCAAGCUCUCAAGUGUGCCAGAUAUCCUCAAGUCUAAAGAAAUAAAACUCUGAAGUUCCUUCCAGGGGGAAAAGAGGGCACUUGCCAGCUGUGCAGAGUAGAAAAGAGUUUGGAAUCUAAUAGUUUCUUGAGCAGAUUUUCAACCAACUAUCAUGCUUCUAGCCUACAAUUUACCCCAUAUUUCUGAAAGCACUUGUUCUGUCAAAUCCUAAGGUUAAACAGUAUAAACUCGUUGAUUUGUAGCUUUUCCCAUUGCUGCCUAAUGAUAAGCUUUCUGUGCUGUGUAUCAGUUGGGUUCAUCCAGAGAAGCGACUACUAUGAAUGUGUAUGUGUGACUAUAUAAAGAUUUGUUACAAAGACUUGGACUUGUACAACUGUGGAAACUGGUUAGGCAGUCUCUAUAAGGCGUUUUCUUCAUGUCUGGUCUGAUUCUAGAGCUGAGGUCCACAGGGCAGGACAUCAGGAAAAGAUGACGGAUGAAAAGUGGGGAAAUGCAAAAACAAGAUGAAAACCACAAGCACGACCUUGAGUCCCUGGGGGUCUCAGUCAAUCUAGGAUGCUGUAACAGAAAACCACAGACUAAGUGGCUUAAACAACAGAAAUUUAUUUCUCACAGUUCUGGAGGCUUGGAAGUUCAUUAGGGUGGCUGCAUGUUGGGUUCUGGUGUGGGUCAUCUUCCGAGUUGGCAAAUGGCUAUCUUAUUCUAUGUCCUCACAUAGCGGAGUGCAGAAAGAGGAAGCAACUCUGCCCUGUUUCUUCUUAUAAAGACACUAAUCCAACCAUGAGAGCUCUAUCCUCAUGACCUAAUUACUUCUCAAGGAUUCCAUCUCCAAAAGCCUCCAUUGAGGCUUAAGGUUUCCACAUAUGAAUUUAUGGUGACACAAACAUUCACUCAAUCCUACAGCAUGGGUUUAUAGAUGGAAAGAGACUCUGUAUUUGGAGCUGUACUCAAUGCUGAUUCAAAUGACACAAUUCUGGACUUUGAGCUGACGCUGUAAUGUUCUGGACUUUGGGCUGACAAUUUUGGGGCACUGGGAGGGGGUUAAUGUAUUUCUGCAUUAUGAACCAGUAUUAUUUUGCAUUGUGAACCACUGGGUAGACUGUUGCAUGCAAAUUUCAAAUACAGUCCUCUAACAUUAGGAAUAUCUGGUUGUGGUGGUGGAUACAUGAACCUACACAUGAUAAAAGUAUACAGAUGUAAACUCACGCACACAAGCACAAGUAAAACUGGGGCAAUAUAAAUAAGAUUGGUGGAUUAUAUCAACUUCAAUAUCAGUCAAUAUCCGGGUUGUGAUAUUAUACCACAGUUUUGCCAAAUGUUACCUUUGGGGGGAAAUGGAUAGAGUAUAUACCUGAUUUCUCUGUAUUAUUUCUCACAAACUGCCUGUGAGUCUGCAGUUAUCUCAAUAAAUACUUCAAUUUUUUUAAGAAUAUGGCACUCAGUGAUCCUGCCUCCUGGUAUUCUGACCCUUAUGUAAGUGUAAUCUCUUCCUCUUGAAUGUGGGCAGGACCCAGUGAUGUGCUUCUAUUAAAUGGUAUGGAAAAAAUGAUGGGAUGCGUCUUCCAUGAUUACAUAACAAAUGAAUUACUUCUGUCUGCUAGAUUCGCUCUGUUGUCUAUCAGCUUGCAUACUUUGAUGAAACAAGCUUCCAUGUUGAAGAGGACCAAGUGGAAAUGAAUUGAGGGCAAGUACUGGACAACAGCCAGAGAGAAAGUCCAAAGCCCAUUCCCCUAUAAGUAACUGAAUGCAGCCAACAACCAGUGAGUGCACCUGAAAGCUUUCCAACAGCCUUGUAAUGACUACAGCUCCAGCCAACAACAUGAUUUCAGCCUGCGAGAGACCUCAGCAUACCUGGAUUCCCGGACUACAGAAACUGAGCUAAUAAAUGUGUGCCAUUUUGA